UACAGAGGUCUCAAGCGUUGUUCGGAUUCAUUGGGCGUAAAGGGUGCGUAGGCGGCGCGGUAAGUCGGGUGUGAAAUCUCGGAGCUUAACUCCGAAACUGCAUUCGAUACUGCCGUGCUUGAGGACUGGAGAGGAGACUGGAAUUUACGGUGUAGCGGUGAAAUGCGUAGAUAUCCACAGGAACUCCGGUGGCGAAGGCGGCACGCUGGACUCUCUCUGACGCUGAGGCGCGAAAGCCAGGGGAGCGAACGGG
rnacentral:rRNA from 1 species